CAUAGCUCUAUUGGGUAAGUGAGCCCUUAGCCCUGAAUAGGAAGCGUGCCCGGCUCCAAUCCUGUUCCUAAUAAUAUCCAUUGCUCCACCUUUGUCAAAUCAAUGAAACCUCAAGGAUUCCAUCCAUUUCCUUAGAUUCCAAAGUGUUUUGAGAUUACGGUACCCGUCUAAGAAGACUUUUGAUUGGUUCUCGUUGCGAAACAAUCAUGGAUCUGUCGAUGAAGAGAUCGCUUUUGGAAGCUGGACAUGUUGAUCAGACUGAAAGCAGUUCGCUGUACACCGGGAUGGCUCCGUUGACUUCAAUGGGAAUCCUGUUUUGA